rnacentral:misc_RNA from 1 species
UUUCCGUAGGUGAACCUGCGGAAGGAUCAUUAUUGUAUAACCGAGGUGCAAGGGCUGUCGCUGACCCGAAAGGUCCUGCACGCCCGAGUGCCCUCACACACAUCCAUCUCACCCCUUUGUGCACCAGCACGUGGGUCCCCCCUUGGCUUGUUCGGAGGGGGGCUUACGUUUUCACACAAACUUUGUAUGCAGUGUAGAAUGUAUUUUUUGUUUUUGCGUUCACGCAAUCAAUACAACUUUCAACAACGGAUCUCUUGGCUCUC